ACUGACGUCCAUUAUCACCACCAGGAUUGAUCCAAGGCUUUUGUUGUGUUUGGCUUUUGAUGAGUGUUACGAUUUUGGCGAGCUGUCUGUGGUUUUUGGGCUGUUUUCGUGAAGUGGAGGUCAUGUAAUAUGAUGGAUUUUUGUUGAGAAGAUGAAUUGGACUAGCAUGUUUCUUAUUUCCAUCUGUGUGUGUUUGCUCAGGGAUGAAUUAAAGCCGAGUAGGUUGUUGCUGCUCCAGGAGGUUAGGAUAUGGUCAGAGUUCUCAAGUUCAGGACAGCCAUGUCGACAAAAUGGGUCAGUGUGUAUAUCCAACUUGUUGAUGAAGGCAUUUAGCCUAUUGUGUCCUGAUCUGAGACGGUGUAAAGUGGUGUUGAUAAGUCUGUUCUGGUGGUGAAACCAGUCCACGACGCCAAGGCUUGUUUUGGAGGUUACGCUUGGUUUGCCACAGAGUUUUAGAUUAUUGAGAGUUGAUAUUGACCAUUUCUUUUUAUACAGGGAAAUGACCUCAUUGGGAGCGAGAAUAUUCUCGAUGGAAUUGAAGAGGGGUAUUUCGUCCAUAUUACUGGCCAGUUUGUCAGCCACCUGGUUUCCAGUGAUCCCGAUAUGGCUUGGGAUCCAAGUGAGGUAUGUCUGAGUGCCGAAUGCUCUUUUCCAGAUGUCAAGGAGGAUCGGGGUUUGAGUUAGAUUACUGGUAGCGUCGAUUGCUUGGAGGGCCACUUUUGAAUCACAGAAGAUGUAGAGUUCGUUUGGGGUGGAAUCUAGAUGAUAGCAUACUUCUAGGGCCUUUUGGACCCCAUUUAGUUCAGCGGACGCCUUGCGAGAGGUGCCAUGCCUGUUCAAUUUGAAGGGAGGGAAGCGAGAGCACAGGAAGUGGCGUCGUUAUUAACAGAUCCGUCGGUGUAUCCUAUGAUGGUGGUUGGACUGAUAUGUGCUGUCAAGCUGUUUAAAGUGGCACGGGCUCUUUGGGGGUUGGCGGAUGCUUCAGCUUUUUUCAUGGGAAACCAGAGCGAUUUUUAGGGGGGUACUGCCCAAGGUGGAGGUGGUUAGAGCUGGUUUGCGUAGUUUGGGCUGACAGUGAAUAGGCUGUUUGAGUAGUUCAAUGUUUUUAAGUCUUUAAUCAGAGUAGUGAGGCUGGGGACGCUGCGUAGUGACCAAGUUACGGGGUAUAGGAAAUAAUGAAUAAUGUUGAGCCUGCUGAUAGUUCGAGUGGGUGAGUUUGUAACUUAGCUGAAUGAGAUACCGCGGAUAGUUUAGAUUCACGGCCUUUUCUUUUCUAGGGGACAAACCCUUCAAGUGUCCGGAGUGUAAUUGUUCUUCCGGACAAGCGGUCACCGACAAUCUCACCUCAAGAGUCACCGCAAAGCUUCCCAGACAAUCGGUAAACCCGGUGCGAUCCGUACAGUGUCUUCUGCCGCCAACAAGAGGAAAUUAAAAGCUAAGUCGAACAAACAGCGAGUGUCGAACGGAGAUAUAGAUUCUGAAGCUCAUCUGGCGAAAGUCAUCGCCGAUAUCUGGUGACCUGUCGAAUCAACACAAUUCUUUGGGCGAUCAAAGUGGAUCCCUGGGAAAUUUGACUGUGAAAUUCCACUUAGACGAAGCCGGCAAUGUCCAAUUGCCAACAUUGGACUCGACUACGUUGCUGGACUUGAGGGACUUGAGCGAUCUUUUCCUGACCCAGGGCGAUGGACAGGUCCAAGGGAUCGCAUUGACUCAGGAGAUGAAUUUGUCGCAUCUGUUAACCGAGAACGAGUCUAAACCGGGACGAGCUGAGUAAGAAUUUUUAUGAACUCUGAAUCCGGUUUGCGACUUUUGACGGGGAACCACGGAAGAACAAUGCUCGUUUCCAGUUCGCAUGCGGAUCAGCACAAUUCCGAAGUAGAGGAGGGAGCAGAUCACGCUAUCCUGCUAGAGGCAGUCGAUCCUGUUGUUAUUUUGGGAGUUUCCAGCGAAACAAAUCCUGAACGGGUGUCGGUAAUUACGGCAAGAAAUCGCAACUUCCAAAAGUGAAUUCAAAUGUUCAAAUUUAUUUUUCUCUGAAAUAAUACUGUUUCUCUGACACUACUCAACGAUCGGUCAUUGAGUCAUCGGACAUUUGCAUCUCGCUUAUUAGUAAAUUUUGUGUUUAUUAUCAUCGAUUAUGAUAUUUCUGUAAUUUUAUAUGCUCUCUUAAAAUAAAAUGUUUGUAUAAAUUACAUCUACUUAAUAUAAUUUUGUAAUUAAAGAAGUGUGCCAAAUUUCAAACUUUGUCUAUUGUGAACAAUGAAAAUCAAAAACGUUACGUUUUGCUCACUUAAUCGCAUUUAAUCUUACCCAUCUCUAUUUUGGUACCUACCGCU
rnacentral:lncRNA from 1 species